rnacentral:rRNA from 1 species
AUUGAACGCUGGCGGCAGGCCUAACACAUGCAAGUCGAGCGGAUGAAGGUAGCUUGCUACCUGAUUCAGCGGCGGUCGGGUGAGUAAUGCCUAGGAAUCUGCCUGGUAGUGGGGGACAACGAUUAGUAAGGAACGCUAAUACCGCAUACGCCCUACGGGAGAAAGUGGGGGAUCUGCGGACUUGACGCAAUCACAUUAGCCUGGGUCGGAUUAGGUAGUUGUGGAUGUAAAGGCUAACCAAGGCGACGAUCGCUAACUGGUCUGAGAGGAUGAGCAGUCACACUGGAACUGAGACACGGUCCAGAGUCCUGCGGGAGGCAGCAGUGGGGAAUAUUGGACAAUGGGCGCAAGCCUGAUCCAGCAAUGCCGCGUGGAGGAAGAAGGCCUUCGGGUUGUAAACUGCUUUUGUCAGGGAAGAAAGCCUUUAGGUUAAUACCUUGGGUGAAUGACGUUACCUGAAGAAUAAGCACCGGCUAACUACGUGCCAGCCGCCGCCGUAAUAC